rnacentral:lncRNA from 1 species
CAUGAACCAUGCUUACAAAGAAAGCACUUCUUAUUGAAAUGAAUUCCUGCAUUUGAUAGCAAUGGACGCGAUGGAUUUCUUGGCUGGAUUUCUGAUAGUUUCUGAAAGGCCUUCACUUCUCUGCUGGCAGAGGCUGGCUUCAGUGUGACUUGUGCAACAUGAGACAGGCUGUGAUUUUUAUUUUAACUUGAAGAACCAGGUUGCAGAGAGGGAAGAAAAACUCACAAAGCUCCCAGCAAUCUAGAGGCUGAUUUUUCCCAAGCAAGCAAGUCUCUUUGGGGAGGUGAGGAACGAUUGUACUGAAUGAAGAGGUGAUCUAAGGUCAGCAUUAAAUAGAUGUGUUGCUUUUCCCAGAGUCGGCUGAAAAGAUCAAGUGACUUCCUCUACUGAAAAGUUACAAUUCGAUAAUUAACAGAAUUUCCUCACAGCUUUAUAGGCUUCAACUCUUAUUCUCUGAAGUGCUGACCUCAUUGCCUCCUCUCCUCUCCAGGAAGCAGCAGUCAGAAAUUGGAAUUUCAGAGGGGCUGGCAGAGUUGCAAUGUACCUGAGACACUAGGCAAAUAACCAAGGAAUGUGUUUGCUGGAUUACAUGAUAUAAGGAGGUGGUGGUAGAAGUGGAGAAUGUAUUCAGACCAUCAUACAUCAUUUUAUGGAAGAAAAAGCCUGACACUUUCAUUGGCAAAUAAAUCCUGGAGCUCUGAGUACUGGGAAGGACCUAAGAGGUCAGCUCAUCCAUCUUCACAUCUCUGGGCAGCUCUGCACUGAAAAUCCAUCCCCUAAAUGCAGCUGUCUAGUGGUUUCCCUCACUAUUCUCUAAGGAAGCUACCUUCCUGACCUUCUUUGAUAAGCCAUUUUAGUAUCUUAGUAGAAAGCAUGAAAUUGUUACUAAAGCACCUGCAGUGCAGUAGGGUUACGAAAUUGGAGCACAAAUGGAGUUAGGAGGCUGGACUCUGAGACCAGAACAACCUGGGUUUGAAUUCUGAAUUGAACACCAACUAACUGGGUGACCUUGUGCAAGUUAACCUCUUAAAAAAAUGAAAUAAUAAAAAAGACAGUCCUGAAGAUGUUAUAUGCACAUAUAUACACAUAUAUAAUAUAUGUAAAUGAUAAAUAUAUACUCAAUAAAUACAGACGUACAAAUAUAUACUCGACAAAUGUCUCUUCUCUUCUUCCUUUCUUCUAUUCCUC